GUUAUAGGGUCAAGCGAACAAGUGCAUGUGGUGGAUGCCUUGGCGAUCACAGGCGAUGAAGGACGCGGUAGCCUGCGAAAAGCUACGGGGAGCUGGCAAACGAGCUUUGAUCCGUAGAUGUCCGAAUGGGGAAACCCACUCCUUUUGGAGUAUCCAUGGCUGAAUACAUAGGCCAUGCGAAGCGAACGCGGUGAACUGAAACAUCUAAGUAACCGCAGGAAAAGAAAUCAACCGAGAUUCCCAAAGUAGUGGCGAGCGAAAUGGGAUGAGCCUUGCACUCUUUAUUUGUAUUGUUAGCCGAACGCUCUGGAAAGUGCGGCCAUAGCAGGUGAUAGCCCUGUAGGCGAAAACAGUAUGAAAGAACUAGGUGUGCGACAAGUAGGGCGGGACACGUGAAAUCCUGUCUGAAGAUGGGGGGACCAUCCUCCAAGGCUAAAUACUCGUGAUCGACCGAUAGUGAACCAGUACCGUGAGGGAAAGGCGAAAAGAACCCCGGGAGGGGAGUGAAAUAGAUCCUGAAACCGCAUGCAUACAAACAGUCGGAGCCUCGUAAGGGGUGACGGCGUACCUUUUGUAUAAUGGGUCAGCGACUUACGUUCAGUAGCAAGCUUAACCGUAUAGGGCAGGCGUAGCGAAAGCGAGUCCGAAUAGGGCGUUCAGUUGCUGGGCGUAGACCCGAAACCAGGUGAUCUAUCCAUGGCCAGGAUGAAGGUGCGGUAACACGUACUGGAGGUCCGAACCCACUAACGUUGAAAAGUUAGGGGAUGAGCUGUGGAUAGGGGUGAAAGGCUAAACAAACCUGGAAAUAGCUGGUUCUCUCCGAAAACUAUUUAGGUAGUGCCUCGUGUCUCACCUUCGGGGGUAGAGCACUGUCAUGGUUGGGGGGUCUAUUGCAGAUUACCCCGCCAUAGCAAACUCCGAAUACCGAAGAGUGCAAUCACGGGAGACAGACAUCGGGUGCUAACGUCCGGUGUCAAGAGGGAAACAACCCAGACCGCCAGCUAAGGUCCCCAAAUAUAGCUAAGUGGGAAACGAAGUGGGAAGGCUAAAACAGUCAGGAGGUUGGCUUAGAAGCAGCCACCCUUUAAAGAAAGCGUAAUAGCUCACUGAUCGAGUCGUCCUGCGCGGAAGAUGUAACGGGGCUAAGCUAUAUACCGAAGCUGCGGAUGCGUGCUUAGCACGCAUGGUAGGAGAGCGUUCCGUAAGCCUGCGAAGGUGCCUUGUAAAGGGUGCUGGAGGUAUCGGAAGUGCGAAUGCUGACAUGAGUAGCGAUAAAGGGGGUGAAAGGCCCCCUCGCCGUAAGCCCAAGGUUUCCUACGCAACGUUCAUCGGCGUAGGGUGAGUCGGCCCCUAAGGCGAGGCAGAAAUGCGUAGCUGAUGGGAAGCAGGUCAAUAUUCCUGCACCAUUGUUAGAUGCGAUGGGGGGACGGAUCGCGGAAGGUUGUCCGGGUGUUGGAAGUCCCGGUCGCUGCAUUGGAGAAGGCGCUUAGGCAAAUCCGGGCGCGCAAUUCAAGGGUGUGGCGCGAGCUCCCUAGGGAGCGAAGCAAUUGGAAGUGGUUCCAAGAAAAGCCUCUAAGCUUCAGUCUAACGAUGACCGUACCGCAAACCGACACAGGUGGGCGAGAUGAGUAUUCUAAGGCGCUUGAGAGAACUCGGGAGAAGGAACUCGGCAAAUUGGUACCGUAACUUCGGGAUAAGGUACGCCCUUGUAGCUUGACUGGCCUGCGCCAGGAGGGUGAAGGGGUUGCAAUAAACUGGUGGCUGCGACUGUUUAAUAAAAACACAGCACUCUGCAAACACGAAAGUGGACGUAUAGGGUGUGACGCCUGCCCGGUGCCGGAAGAUUAAAUGAUGGGGUGCAAGCUCUUGAUUGAAGUCCCGGUAAACGGCGGCCGUAACUAUAACGGUCCUAAGGUAGCGAAAUUCCUUGUCGGGUAAGUUCCGACCUGCACGAAUGGCGUAACGAUGGCCACACUGUCUCCUCCCGAGACUCAGCGAAGUUGAAGUGUUUGUGAUGAUGCAAUCUACCCGCGGCUAGACGGAAAGACCCCAUGAACCUUUACUGUAGCUUUGCAUUGGACUUUGAACCGAUCUGUGUAGGAU
rnacentral:rRNA from 1 species